rnacentral:rRNA from 1 species
AACGAACGCUGGCGGCAUGCCUAACACAUGCAAGUCGAACGAGAUCUUCGGGUCUAGUGGCGCACGGGUGCGUAACGCGUGGGAAUCUGCCCUUUGGUUCGGAAUAACAGUUGGAAACGACUGCUAAUACCGGAUGAUGACGAAAGUCCAAAGAUUUAUCGCCAGGGGAGGAGACCGCGUCGGAUUAGCUAGUUUGUGGAGUAAAGGCGCACCAAGGCGACGAUCCUUAGCUGGUCUGAGAGGAUGAUCAGCCACACUGGGAUUGAGACACGGCCCAGACUCCUACGGGAGGCAGUAGUGGGGAAUAUUGGACAAUGGGCGAAAGACUGAUCCAGCAAUGCCGCGUGAGUGAUGAAGGCCUUAGGGUUGUAAAGCUCUUUUACCCGGAAUGAUAACGACAGUACCGGGAGAAUAAGCUCCGGCUAACUCCGUGCCAGCAGCCGCGGUAA